AGAGUUUGAUCCUGGCUCAGAGCGAACGCUGGCGGCAGGCCUAACACAUGCAAGUCGAGCGCCGUAGCAAUACGGAGCGGCAGACGGGAGAGUAACACGUGGGAACGUGCCCUUUGGUUCGGAACAACACAGGGAAACUUGUGCUAAUACCGGAUAAGCCCUUACGGGGAAAGAUUUAUCGCCAAAGGAUCGGCCCGCGUCUGAUUAGCUUGUUGGUGAGGUAACGGCUCACCAAGGCUACGAUCAGUAGCUGGUCUGAGAGGAUGAUCAGCCUCACUGGGACUGAGACACGGCCCAGACUCCUACGGGAGGCAGCAGUGGGGAAUAUUGGACAAUGGGGGAAACCCUGAUCCAGCGACGCCGCGUGUGUGAAGAAGGCCUGCGGGUUGUAAA
rnacentral:rRNA from 1 species